CUCUUUCUUUCUCUCUCUCUCUUUCCCUUCCCCAAAGUUAAAAUGACAUUCCUGUCUCAGUUCGCUAUUCGUUGUAUGCUUCUACUCCUUUCCUCUUCUAUCUGAUCUGUUAGCGUCAAGUUGUCUAGUCUACUUUCUUUAUAAUGUGUCAAUGCAACUGAAGUUGUCUCCUCCAGACGCAUUUAAUUAAGCUGCAUUCUUUUCUAGCUCUUUAUAGUGCCAUUGCAUUUGUAACGUGGUCUUUCCUUUCUAAAUGAAAUAGUCUUCAAUUUGUUCAACAUAUUCAUUCAAUUCUCCUUCUAUCUCAAAUACUGAAACGAUCAAGUCAUUAUAAAUCUAUUUGCAUGUUGACAUUGAGUUUAUCAACAUUUAUGAUUUGCUGAAUACCAGUUGUUGUCACCUUUGUAAAUUUUCUCCAUUUUUCUAGUUAACCAAGCAGCUGUCACUUUUGUUUAAAAAUGGCUGUUAGGGAAACAGACAUUUCAUUUGGAACAUUCUCGUGUAUCUCUUCGUGAUUAUCUGGAGAAAUAGGCUAUUUUUAGAUUAGCUUAAGAUACAGACACAAUUUGAACACGAGCUUUAAAAAGCCAAAGAUCUUUCUUAUUAAUUAUUCUCUCAGUCACUCAAUUCUUCCACAUGCAUGAAUUAUUAACAAGGAAUUUGAAUAGUUACUUCGCGGAGAUCUUUAUAAAUCUGAUGUUCUUGUGUCAUGAAGAUAGCAACAUUAACAGAUGUCGGAACAUGAAGAUAAAGAAAAUAGUUUCUUAAAAAGACACUUGAAGAAGCAAGGCGGUGGUUGAGUCAAAAACCCAGGACCCUGCUUGACGAAUAAGAAGUGAUUGGCGACGUGUGAUCGACUCUAUAAAUUGCAAUUGUUUGGAUCGUAAGAUUCUGAAUUGUUUCUUUUACUUUUUAUUCCUCACUUGAAGCAAGAUCCUGACGAGCAUUAAAGACUGCCCGACUGUCGCCAGAUUAGUGAUUUUCAAAUUGUUAUGGAAUUACACUUUUCCGUAGAAAUGCUUUGAAUACUGGGAACUCGAAAACAUUAUCUAUCUGGAGUUUCAGCUAAACGGUUUUGGCAAUGAAUGCAUUUUACCAAGCAAGUUACUUUUUAUCUGAGCUUAUCGCAUUAACUGGAAUCAUCUUGAAUGCGUCUCAAAUCGUAAAAACACUACAGACUAAAGGAAAGAAAUCGGCUUUUGAGCUCACUAUCCUUAGCCUAUCAACUGCAGAUUUUUUGAGUUCAAUCUUUACUGUCUCUCAUAUUGUUUAUUGGCAUUUGAAGGACAACUAUUUGGCAUCACACAAACCUAGUUUAGAUUUUGUAUCUCAAAUUGGCUUGCAAUUUGGGAUUCUUUCAUCGAUAUUUCACUUAGUGUUUAUCGCAACGCAGCGCACCUUUGCUGCCGUUUCGCCUCUAAAAUUUCGCCUGCAUUUCACGAUCAGUUUUUGCAACGGCUGCUUGGUCGUAAUUUGGGCCCUUUCUUUCGGGUUAAGUGCUGUUAAUGUUUUUGCAAUCACGAAGGCAGAUAUUAUCGGCUAUUUCUGCGUUAUUUCAGAGGCGUCUCUACUCGUUACAUACACUAUAACUUGCUAUAUUAUCAAGAGGCAAAACAGAAUGGCCAGAGUAUUGUCAAGCCGGAGCCACACAAGGAAAUCAACAGUACGAGCUGCAUUUCUUCAUUCAAUAUCUGUUACUUUUGCCUUCAUUUUGUGCACGUUGCCCGCCGCUCUCUUCCAUAUCAACGUCCUUAAGAGAGUAAGUUCCACCGACUAUUUGUAUGAAUGGGUUCGUUGGAUGUUCUACAUGAACCCUACCCUUGACUCUGUCCUUUACUUUUAUUUCAAGAGAAAGCAAAUAACAACACCUCAGUUCUUGUACAGUUUUACCGGGCAACACUCUAGCUUCUACAACCUAGAAAACGCAAGAAGACAGGCAUCGAAGGAGAGCUUUUUGAGCAGUAAGUAUAAGCUGAAGCACUCGCAUUGGAACGCUGCAAUGGAGCAGGAGACAUCAAAACUUUGAUAUUUUGAUGCAUUAAUAAGGGGAUAUGACAGGCUAUUAUCAUCUGUAACCAACGUCGUUCGCUCAAUGCAAAUUUAGGUUCGAUUCGAUUCCUGUUUCUGCUAUCGAGUGCUGAAAAAGCCAUAUAAAGCGACUUCUAAGUCAUGUUAGCAGAACAACCGAUGCCUGCAAUGGGAUUCAAAAACACGAACUUCUUCAACUUUUACAUUUACAGUAAUCAAGUUUCAAAUGACUCUCUGAGUAGUUCUAUGUGAUACGUGAAGAAUUUUGAAAUAAAAGCCAUCUGACUUUUUACUUUGAAAUGUCAAUGCCGAAGACUUACGUGAGAUUAUCAGAGAACAAUUUUCAUUUUGGUUUGUUUAAAACCAUAAAAGACUUAGAACGAAAAACAAUCUUCUAUCACAGACUUGUAAACUUGCAAAUCAUUUGCUUCGUCUAAUUACUUGUUGAUUCUUUCUUAACAGUUCGACGCCUAAAUUUAUCUUAAAUCUAAAGCUUAAAAAUGUGUUUUAGAUUAUUCAAUUUCUCCGAUGUAUGAAAUUUAGCCGUAGCGGUAUGAAAUCUUAAAACAAGACUAUCUAAUUGAUUGGUGAAACAAUUUCAGAUAUUUUUAGAUUUUUUGCGCAAUCGACGUAUAUAAACGAAAUCUCAGCUUUUAUUUGCUUUUUCUAGUGCACUGUUGUGCAACAUAAUCAAAUUUUGAAUUUAGCUCUGUAUUUGCAGAAUUUUAACAUGAAUGUUUGGAGAGUGUUAGAAAAAAGCGCAAUAUAAUACUUAUAUGUGUAGCCAUUCUGAUUUAUUAUGUAAAAAGCGGACGAAAUUUUAUUGUAAAUCAAUUAUUUUCAAUACUAGUGCGCAAAUAAGAUUUAAUCAAAUUUCAUUUUGAAUGUGCCCUUCCUAGAAAAUAAACGUGGAGUGGUUCAUUGAUAUAAGGAAAUUUGUUCGGAGGAAUCAGGCUCAUUUUUGUUGAUAUUCCUAACGUUAAAAAAUUAGAAGAAACUGAUGAAACACCAAGCGGCAUCAUGAUGCAACACCGACCGGCACGAAGCACGAUACAGCAUUCUGUUACUUUGUAACCAGGAGUGUAAUGCUUGGGGGCUAUGGGGGGCUAAGCCCCACUUGUUAAUGCCAAAAAUUUGCAAACUUUUACUUUUGCUAUUCUCUUUCGCAACAUUUUAUGCAAGAGCACCCCUUGUUUUUUGAUAGCACUACACCACUGUUUGUAACCUACUUUGUUUUAAGUAAUUUUUUGCAGAGUAUGUUUGUGUAGCCCACUUCUGUCCUUUCCUUUUAUCCCCUGUAUAUAUAUAUGCUGUCGUAAUUAGUGAGUGAAGUUUAGAGACUUGUACUGCUAAAUAGUUUAAAGAAAGCUACCCGUGUAGCGAGAGCUCUUGCGACAAAGCUAAUAGCUGAAUAAGAUUUAAUUUAUAUUUGGCAUAUUUAGGACAAGCAGUCUCGCAAAGGACUGCGCUGUGCCUCGUUAAAACGCUGCGAGCAAAACAAGGGAGCCUACGCCCUUAUCGCUUUAUCAAUGCGAGAUUGAAGCAUUCAUUACCAUCUUGUUGAAGGCCCGUUGUACCUACAUUUCAAACUGCAUUUGGAUACAUUCCCACCUUACUCAAUGAAUACAACGUUGCGGAUACAAGCAGUGAUCACCCCAACUGUGGACAUUG